GGGAGUGUUGAGGGGGCCUGAAGGGUUCCGCUCCUCCCACCCAGGGAACCGCCAUGCCACUAGUGGGCUGUCCUGGAGACUCGGGGAGAAAGCACACAGGCUGUCGGGAAAGGUGGGUCGCAGGCGGGCAGGGCAGCCCUGCUGUACUGAUGGGCAGGCGCUGGGUGGGUGGAAGGCAAAGCCAUCAGGUCAUCCCCCUCUCUGUCCCUGCAUUGGGCCAACCAGGUGUGUCAGGAGGAUAUUUGACCAUUCCUGAGAGGCACAUUCUCUCUCUCUCUCUCUCUCUCCCUCUCUCUCUCUCCCUCUCUCUCUCCCUCUCUCCCUCUCUCUCCCUCUCUCUCCCUCUCUCUCCCUCUCCCUCUCUCUCUCCCUCUCCCUCUCUCCCCCCUCCCUCUCCCUCCCUCUCCCCCUCUCCCUCUCCCUCUCUCCCCCUCCCUCUCUCUCCCUCUCUCUCCCUCUCUCUCCCCCUCUCUCUCCCUCCUCUCUCUGUCACACACAUUUGCACAUCCUGCAGUGUGAAUGGAGUAUGAAUGUGUGUGGUAGGCGACAGCUGUGUGUGUACGUCCGGGUGCGUGUGUGCGUGUGUACAUGUGAGCGUGUGUGCACGUGAGUUAGAGCCUGAGUGUCCCCUGCGUGGGUUAGUGUGUGCGCCCGCCCGGUGCCCUCCGUCUUGGGAGUCUGGGCUGCUGCUCCGCGGGCUCUGGAGCCGGCGCUCCCCACGAGCCCGGACUCUCCGCCGCGCCCGGGAGCUGCGCAAUCGGCUGCUAAGACGCCGGCGCCACCGGCUGGGCCCUGUUCUCCCCUCUCUUUUCUACAGUCUUACCCGCAGCUGACAGGGUUCGAAAGAGCAUGAAACGGAGGAGACGUUACAGCAACGUGUCAGCUGAAAUGAUGGGCGUAGACGCACGUCAGCGGCGGAAAUGGUUUCUAUCAAAAUGAAAGUGUUUAGAGAUUUUCCUCAAGUUUCAAAUGAGGCGAAUCCCGUUUUCCGCGAUGCUGCAGCGCGCGGGUUUUAACCGCAGGGUCACGCGGAACGCCGCGCCGCGCGACUGUGCCUCGGUCUCUGCGCCCGGCUCUCCCUCCGGUCCGCAAGAGGAGGAAGGCCCGCGGCGUGCCGAGGUCAGCGGCGCGGAGCCACCAGGCGAGACGGUCACGGACGCCUGAACCGAGGUCACCGAGGCCACGGGGCCGGGAGGCCCUCAGCAGAGCCCGGGGGCUCCGCACCUCAAGGCCGGCCAGGAAGAAACAGCAGCAGGAGCCCAGGGCGCCCCGGGGAGCCCCCGACACGCGGGCCGAGCGCCCAGAGCGGCCCAGGCCCUCGCGAGGAGACCGGCCUCCCCAGGGCGGGGCUUCCGACUCGGGCGCCCGUGAGCCCCGGAGGCGGCGCGAAGGGGCAGAGUCCGCGUUUCUAACCAGCCCCCGGGUGGGCGGUGGCCCGCGCGGCACGGUGGGCGCGAGCGCCGUGGGCUGGGGCCGGCCUGGGCUUUCAGGGCGAGGGCUUUCCGCGCCGGCCCCAGCCCACCCGGCCCCGCUGCGCGCCCCUCACGCUGCAGCCUGGGAACCUGGGCCGGGAGCUGCGGGCCGCUCCGGGGAAGCGGGCCUGACCUCCCCUCCCCACCGCCGCCCCUGCGGUGAGAUCCUGCCUGCCGGGGCGCAGGGGCCCGCGGUUGGGCUCCGGGAGACGGAAGAGGCCCCACAGCUCGGGCCCCACGCAGUGGACGCUGCCACUUAAUUUUGGCGUAAUUGAUGUCAAGGCGGGUGCCCGGGCCCCCAGUGAAAUGCCUCAUGAACUCGCUGCGAGGAACGGCGCUCCACGCGGUGCACGGUGGCCAAUCAGAGCUGCCGCUUCUGAUGGAGGCUGAGCCGGCUGGGGAGGCGUCUUGGCCAAGAACCAGCCCCAGCCUCGCUCAGGGCCCCAACCCGCAGACCAUGUAAUUAAGCUGCGUUCUGCAGCCAGGGCAAGAGUCUCAGCUCUGAACAUCUUCCCGCACCUCUGAGGAGCCAGGCCUGGAAACCCUCUAAAAUAGAUUUUUCUGCCUCAAGACAGAAGAUGGGCGUUCCAGGCAGAGAAGAGCUGCCCAGUCACGUGCUCUGCUCCACCUGGUCAGAGACCCUUGACCUUUAGAAGACUGGACCUGAGGGCGUGGCUGGUGGACCUGAGGGCGUGGAUGGUGGACCUGGCCACCCAGCUGUAGCUUUUUGGGUUCCUGUGGUCCCAUUUCUUGGGUCAAUCUCACACCUGGCAGCUCCCAGGAAGACACCCCCAGGCCCCUCACACUCCUGGGGGCAGCUGGAAUUGGCUUCAGGGCGGGACCAGGGGCCCCAUGGGUGUUUGGAAUCCCUGAUCUGGGUCAGGCACCGGCAGCAGGAUUCCAGCCUGGCCUGGACUCUGGUGUGUCCCGUUUGAAGAAACCCCGCCCUGUGAAAGUUCAAGUUUAGCAUCCAAUGACCCAUUUAAGAGGUUUGCUGAGCCACGUCACAGGAGGGUCUGGGUGCAAACGGAGGUGGCAACACACAGAGCGAGCCUUGAGCACCCAGGUUACCCCCAGGACCUCCAGUCUGGCUUGGGGGCUCCUGCUGUCCUGUGGAGCAGCCCCCUGGGAUCAGGGACGGGGCUGAGCUGGAGAGUGUGCAGGAUUGAUUAAUGAUGUCUGCCACGGUCAGGCCAACUGCUGUGUUUCUGGGGCCCACAAGCUAAAAAUGGUUGGAAAAAAAUCAAAACAUUAAUAUUUGUGACAUAUGAGAAUGCUAUGAAAGUCAACUUUGCUAUCCAUAAAUAAAGUUUUAUUGACAUA